rnacentral:rRNA from 1 species
CCUACGGGAGGCAGCAGUGGGGAAUAUUGGGCAAUGGGCGCAAGCCUGACCCAGCAACGCCGCGUGAAGGAAGAAGGCCCUCGGGUUGUGAACUUCUUUUGUCAAGGACGAAACAAAUGACGGUACUUGGUGAAUAAGCCACGGCUAACUACGUGCCAGCAGCCGCGGUAAUACGGAGGUGGCAAGCGUUAUCCGGAUUUACUGGGUGUAAAGGGCGUGUAGGCGGGACUGCAAGUCAGAUGUGAAAACCAUGGGCUCAACCCCUGGCCUGCAUUUGAAACUGUAGUUCUUGAGUGUUGGAGAGGAAGGCGGAAGUCCGUGUGUAGCGGUGAAAUGCGUAGAUAUACGGAGGAACACCAGUGGCGAAGGCGGCCUGCUGGACAAUAACUGACGCUGAGGCGCGAAAGCGUGGGGAGCAAACAGGAUUAGAUACCCGGGUAGUC